UACGGAGGGUUAGCGUUGUUCGAAGUACUGGCGUAAGGCGCGCGUAGGCGGAUUGGAAAGUUGGGGUGAAAUCCCGGGGCUCAACCCCGGAGCUGCCUCCAAAACUUCCAGUCUGGAGUUCGAGAGAGGUGAGUGGAAUUCCGAGUGUAGAGGUGAAAUUCGUAGAUAUUCGGAGGAACACCAGUGGCGAAGGCGGCUCACUGGCUCGAUACUGACGCUGAGGUGCGAAAGUGUGGGGAGCAAACAGGAUUAGAUACCCCCCGUAGU
rnacentral:rRNA from 1 species